rnacentral:rRNA from 1 species
ACUGAACGCUGGCGGCAGGCUUAACACAUGCAAGUCGAGCGCCCCGCAAGGGGAGCGGCAGACGGGUGAGUAACGCGUGGGAAUCUACCCAUCUCUACGGAAUAACGCAUGGAAACGUGUGCUAAUACCGUAUACGUCCUUCGGGAGAAAGAUUUAUCGGAGAUGGAUGGGCCCGCGUUGGAUUAGCUAGUUGGUGGGGUAAAGGCCUACCAAGGCGACGAUCCAUAGCUGGUCUGAGAGGAUGAUCAGCCACACUGGGACUGAGACACGGCCCAGACUCCUACGGGAGGCAGCAGUGGGGAAUAUUGGACAAUGGGCGCAAGCCUGAUCCAGCCAUGCCGCGUGAGUGAUGAAGGCCCUAGGGUUGUAAAGCUCUUUCACCGGUGAAGAUAAUGACGGUAACCGGAGAAGAAGCCCCGGCUAACUUCGUGCCAGCCGCCGCCGUAAAAC